rnacentral:rRNA from 1 species
UACGAAGGGGGGCGAGCGUUGUUCGGAUUUACUGGGCGUAAAGGGCGCGUAGGCGCCUUGUCAGUCAGGCGUGAAAGCCCCGGGCUCAACCUGGGAACGGCGCUUGGGACGGCGAGGCUGGAGUUCGGGAGAGGAGAGUGGAAUUCCCAGUGUAGAGGUGAAAUUCGUAGAUAUUGGGAAGAACACCGGUGGCGAAGGCGGCUCUCUGGACCGACACUGACGCUGAGGCGCGAAAGCGUGGGGAGCAAACAGG